rnacentral:misc_RNA from 1 species
CCCAUGUGCAAAACACAGUGGCAGCGCCAAUUCGACUUUUGGCUUCCCAGCAUUAUAUACUCAAGGUUUCAAAGCUCGCGCCACGCCGCGCGCCGUCUCCUGGCCCCCCGCUUCCCCUUGGCGAUGGCGUCGGCGGUAGCCCAGGCCUGCCCCUCCCUCUCGCCGUCGCCCUCGUCCUCGCCGCCGCCGAGGCCCAUCACCAUCGGCUGCAACUCUCCCCGCGCCCUGAACACGGCCCGCUUGCGCGGGGGCAGGUCCUCGUCCCUGACCCUGACGCCCGCGCCGGGCCUGCCGCCGUGCUCGCCGCGGUGCAUCCCGCACUCGGCGCAGAUGUGCCGCCUCAGCUUGCAGGGGUACCUGAGCUGCUCGCCCGUGAAGUCGCCGCGCUCGUCGUCGCCCCCGACGAACGUGCACCGGAGGAGGAUUGUGCCGCUACUCAGCAGCUUCCUGUCGGCGGCGCCCUGCGUCAUCGAUGUCUCGAUCGGUACUCACUGUCAUACUACUGCCUGCUGAUCGAUCCUGAUGGCAGGCAGGACACGUACUUAUAGGUCUGGGGAGCUUGGGAUCGUCUGGGGAGAUGUGAAAUGAUGUGUAGUAGAUGGAAUUGGCAGUGCCAAGCAUGAAGAGAGUGAGAGAGCGCCUCUGGUCACGCACGAGGUGACGGUGGACGGUGGCGCCGCGCGAGAGAAGAACCUGUAACGCUUGCUAGCUUGCUUCAUGCCAUAUAUAAUCUGUAUGUGCCGUGGC